CUGACUACCUUCAGUAGCAACACUAUCAAACGCCUACAAACAGCAAUAUGAGCAUCUUACAGUUCAUGAUGACUCUCAGCCUUGCACUAGUUUCAGGAUCCUCUCUAAAUGAUCAAGUCCACCAGACUCCAUUUUAUAUUCAAGCAAAGCCAAGAGAAACCGCCAGGAUCAACUGCUCUCACAGUAUUCAGAACUAUGAUCGAAUCCUGUGGUAUAAGAGAUCAGAGGACAGACAGCUUCAGCUCCUGGGAUAUAUGUAUCUAGACAACAAAAAUCCUGAACCUGGAGUGACUGUGGAGAUGGAUGGAAAUGCAGCUAAAGACCAGAACUGCACUUUAAUAAUUAAAGACCUCAGUGUGAGCAGCAGCGCAGUUUACUUCUGUGCAGCCAGCUAUCACAGUGCUGCAUAUUACUGCUCCUCAGUACAUAAACCACCACAUCACUGUUUCUGUAAUAUGUAUCUCAGCUCACAUCCUGCUGCACCUGUGUGA